CUUCUUUUAGUCAUCUCUUUCAUCCAACUAGGUUUAGCCGUCAGACUUGAGAAUCUGAUGACGAGCGAAGCCUUACUCGGAACCAAAAACAAGGCGACCAAAAACCUCUACCGCCACGAGCCACUCCUCCGCGAGAAUUCACCUGGAAAAUCUCAUGUCUCGAUAGGCCUUCGACCAACCCACACCGUAGCCACCUUCUGGAACUCAUAUUUCUAAAACGCAACACAAGAGAUAGAUCCGCCGUAAUCACCGGUGACCGGAGCAAACCUAGCCUCAUUGGAAACAUCAAUAGGAAAACCAUUCAAGCCACGGGUUUUAGAUUCCAUCUCGUCACAUGGAUUAAGGUUUUGUGUGUGUUUGGAUGCAGCAAAGAUUUGUACACUCUAAUCGAUUUACAGUGGGAUUUACAGUGAGAUUAAGGUUUUGUGUGUGUUUGUGUGUGUUUGUGUGUUGUUUUUGGUUGUUGUUGCAGGUUUUAGAUUCCAUCUGUGCAAUUCUUAAGAUGAUUGGGAUUUUGCACUGAACAAAAUUCUGCAAUACGUCAUGGCCGAUCAUCAUGCGGGAAGAGGGUCAAGGAUGAUAGUGCCAUUUUCUUUGAAAACCUGAAGGAUCACAUGAUGAAGUUUCUAUUCAUCUAUUAAUCUCUCUUUACUUUUACUUUUUAAUUUUGUCUUUUUACUUUGUAAUAUAAUUUUUUGUGUAA